AUUGAACGCUGGCGGCAUGCCUUACACAUGCAAGUCGAACGGUAACAGGUCUUCGGAUGCUGACGAGUGGCGAACGGGUGAGUAAUGCAUCGGAACGUGCCCAGUAGUGGGGGAUAGCCCGGCGAAAGCCGGAUUAAUACCGCAUACGACCUGAGGGUGAAAGGGGGGGAUCGCAAGACCUCUCGCUAUUGGAGCGGCCGAUGUCAGAUUAGCUAGUUGGUGGGGUAAAGGCCUACCAAGGCAACGAUCUGUAGUUGGUCUGAGAGGACGACCAGCCACACUGGGACUGAGACACGGCCCAGACUCCUACGGGAGGCAGCAGUGGGGAAUUUUGGACAAUGGGCGCAAGCCUGAUCCAGCAAUGCCGCGUGCAGGAAGAAGGCCUUCGGGUUGUAAACUGCUUUUGUCAGGGAAGAAAUCUUCUGGGUUAAUACCUCGGGAGGAUGACGGUACCUGAAGAAUAAGCACCGGCUAACUACGUGCCAGCAGCCGCGGUAA
rnacentral:rRNA from 1 species